AUGCGCUGGAAGAUUAUGUGUCAUUUCUCGGAUCGCUAGGAAGCCUCAAUCGGAGCACACUUUGAAAGGACUUGGGCGUCACGGGGCUCUUGUGUAACCGCGUUGAGCUCCGCGCGGACAAGCGCUAAACUGGGUAACGCAAAACGUUCGCAGCUCAAGUUCGAGAAUGAGAAAGUGUUUCUAGCCUCGCGGAACCAGCGACACGCAGCUAGGUAGACAAGUGAGUUCGCGGAACGCGAGUUCUUGCUGGCCUUGCGUCUAGCGUCGAAGUGAAGCUCAACGUUGCACAGCGCUGGGUCUUUCCAAGUUACCGUGAGAGCACCUGGGGUGAACCGCAGCUGCCGACACGUUGAGAUUGUGGAAUCGCACGAAUUCCAUGGAGCAGUACGGGCCUGUUUGACUUGUACUUGAAAGUUCACCAUGCUUGCAACCUUUCUUGCGAAGAAGCGAGUUACGGAAAGAGGUUCUGGUUUUGGAGGACGUGAGCGCCGCGCGGAAGGCCAAUGCGCGCUCCCCGCAACAAGCAUAGUUCCAUGGGCUCUGGACGCGAAAGUUUAUGCCCGCGACGUUGAGUGCUGAGCUUGAGGUUUCUAGUCUUGCUCAGUGAAUAACGCGGAAAAUGCAUAGAGCAAAACAGCAGGCAGAAGGAAAAGCAGUCCCCAACCCGGUCUGGUGCAAGCUCGCACUCACGAGCGAUGCGUCUGGCGCCAUGGGGAGGAAUGGCAUCGGCACCGCAGCUUGCUGCUGGCAGUGCCGAAGCGCCACCGGACUCGUCGCCGCUGCCUACAAAGCUGUGUCCCAGACACGCGUGAAUUCGAAUGAAGCUAACGGGUGCAAGGCGGGUGCCACAGGCUGACAUCGCGACGCCGCACGAUGCACCGACAUCGACGACAGUUGACGCCAACGCGCAGCCUAGAACGACGCCGAGUGGAGCAUAACGCGCAGCGCCUUUUGCGCUGAGACCUGCUAGCCUAAAGCACUGCUGCGGAUGCGAAGACUGACGAGCUUCAUGGACUGCUGGGAACGAUCUCACAGCUGCGGUGUGCACUGGAGAAACGAAAUCGAGUCCGGAUGCUUCCGUUCGGGCAUGCCAAUGAGCAGAACACGUCUCAGGUGCGACGACGACAACGGAUACCGCGAAUUCGCAGCCUGUUGGUAACUCCAUCUGGUGCUUCUCCAGCGUGUUAUUUCCGUGCAGGUGGGCGUUGUAUUCGACCAGCGCCGCUGCGAACGGCUGUGCGCGUGUUCGCUAUGGUGCAUUCCCGGAGCAGCAGCGACCGCCUCUGCGUCACCAGGUAUCCAGGAUGCUGUGCAGCAUGGUCAUUACCGGAGUCUUUGCGAGGCGCAGGCCUGCAUCGCUGCUUCCGCCUCACCACGGAGGACGGCUUGAGAUCGCUAGACAUGUCGUCUACGAUCGGACGCUGCUGCUGCUGCUGCUGCUGCUGCUGCUGCUGCUGCUGCUGCUGCUACUGCUGCUGCUGCUGCUACUGCUGCUGCUACUGCUGUGGGUAGAGCAUUGCCCGCACAAGGCCGCUUGCGCGUAGUCCACGGUGUCGAGCCGCAGCUGCCGCUUGUGAAUACCGCUGUUGCCGGCUAGGCGUCGACCGCUGAGCCUUGGAAUCUGCUAGGUUUGAAAAAGUCAAAUA
rnacentral:misc_RNA from 1 species